rnacentral:rRNA from 1 species
AUUGAACGCUGGCGGCAGGCUUAACACAUGCAAGUCGAGCGAGCGGCGGACGGGUGAGUAAUGUCUGGGAAACUGCCUGCAGGAGGGGGAUAACUACUGGCAACGGUAGCUAAUACCGCAUACCAUCAGAUGUGCCCAGAUGGGAUUCGCUAGUAGGUUGGGUAAUGGCUCACCUAGGCGAAGAUCCUUAGCUGGUAUGAGAGGAUGACCAGCCACACUGGAACGGAGACACGGUCCAUCCUCCUACGUGAGGCAGCAGUUGGGAAUAUUGUACAAUGGGCGCAAGCCUGAUGCAGCCAUGCCGCGUGUGUGAAGAAGGCCUUCGGGUUGUAAAGCACUUUCAGCGAGGAGGCGUUACUCGCAGAAGAAGCACCGGCUAACUCCGUGCCAGCAGCCGCGGUAAUAC